rnacentral:rRNA from 1 species
ACAGCAGCAGCCGCGGUAAUACAGAGGGUGCAAGCGUUAAUCGGAUUUACUGGGCGUAAAGGGCGCGUAGGUGGUUAUGUAAGUGAGAUGUGAAAUCCCCGGGCUCAACCUGGGAACUGCAUCUUAUACUGCGUAGCUGGAGUGCAAUAGAGGGUAGUGGAAUUCCCGGUGUAGCGGUGAAAUGCGUAGAUAUCGGAAGGAACACCAGAGGCGAAGGCGGCUACCUGGACUGACACUGACACUGAGGCGCGAAAGCUAGGGGAGCAAACAGGAUUAGAUACCCCUGUAGUCCCUGUCUCUUAUAC